rnacentral:tRNA from 1 species
GGUUGUGGCUCAGCGGUAGAGCACUUGCCUAGCAUGUGUGAGGCCCUGGGUUCGGUCCUCAGCACCA